UGUAGAUACAAGUAUAUAUAUUUAUAUCUAUAUAUUAAACCAAUAGAGUUGCAAUUUGUAUUGGCAUAUAACUCUGGUUUAACCCUCGUUGGUGGUAGAUGAGUGAGCAUCAUAUUAUAUCCUCUGGCACCAAAAAGGAUAUGCUAUACCGCAUUCUUAUGGGUGCAAAAAUAAAACAUUGUAUAAUAUCAAAAGGAACUGUUAAUGAACACGCCUAUAUACAAUAUAUGUAAAUAUAAUAUGUACAUUAAUUUUCCUUGAGGUUCUGUAUAGAUUACCAUGACUUUCCUAAGCAGGGCUAAACCGCCUAUCACCCAUUUACUUACUGAGGUUCAUAAUAAUUGUAGUUAAACAAUUGUUAGGAGGUUAUUAGCUUUUCAUGCAUUUAAAAGGCAAUAUUUAACAAGGAAACAUUGGAGUUUUUUUGGAGCUAUCAGCACAAACAUGCCACUGGCACGGUAUCAUUAUAAGAGCAUUUUCUCUUACAAUUGUUCCACUUAUGGGUUUAAAGUUCAGGGCCAUCAUGAACGUGUGAAAACUGGCCUGGUUGUCCUGGGAGACAACUGGCCUGUGGUCCUGGGAGGUUCUACGUCCAGUACAUCCUCUUGUAAGCCACAGGCUGCCAUAGAAAAGCACUGCACUCAAGGCACAAAGAAGGAGAGGAUCUACUGCCUGGAUGCCGAAGAUGGUAGAUGGAAACUCCUGGGCCCCUUCUUUAGUUUACAACUAAGCUGUGCCACCGGACCACUAGGGACAAAGUCUCCCUCUGAUCUUGUAAUCCGCCCAGGGCUGUCAUCAGGGGGAUACAACUGUGUGGGGCCUGUUAUUUAAACAAAAACUAAAGAAUAUUGCACUCCAUAUAAUCCAAAGUACUUGUCCUGGUGGUUAUCAGGCCAAAAAUACAAAAACUGGGUAAAGAUAGCACUCUCAGGUCUUUGGAAUAAAACUUAGCUUUUAAUCUACAUUUUGAGCUUGAUAUCCUCAAGCUUUCAUCAGGACAGCCUAAAAGCUUGAGGAAAUCAGGCUGAAACUUCAUAUUUUUCAUGUAAGACAGUAAAAGCUAAGUUUUAUUGCAAAGACCCGAGAGUGCUAACUUUACCCAGUUUUUGUAUAUGUAGGGUUAUAUACAUAUAUACACCAAGAGGGCUGCACUCACCUGAACAUGCAUAUAUUAUAAGGUGCCGCUGGGGACAAUUCAUACCACAUACAAAAUCCAGCGCACUCACUCAUUCAUUAAAGAUCAAUUUCAAGUCUCACACAAUGUAAUAGUUUUAUUUAAAAUCAAAAGAAAAGAAUAAUGUGGGUUUAGUUCCAGUAUAUAAUCAUCCUCAUCCAGACAUUGCAUUCACUACACACUGCAUCCACUAUACACUGCAUCCACUAUACACACACACUAAAUCCACUAUACACACACACUGCAUCCACUACACACUGCAUCCACUAUACAGACACACACUACAUUGUUUAUACACACACACUGCAUCCACUAUACAGACACACACUACAUCCUCUAUACACACACUGCAUCCACUAUACAGACACACACUACAUCCUCUAUAAACACACACUGCAUCCACUAUACACUGCAUCCACUAUACACACACUGCAUCCACUAUACACUGCAUCCACUACACACUGCAUCCACUAUACACACACACUGCAUCCACUAUACACACACUACAUCCUUUAUACAGACACACACUACAUCCACUAUACACACACACUGCAUCCACUAUACAGACUAUACAGAGACACACUGCAUCCUCUAUAUAUGCACGCACAAACAUUGCAUCCACUAUACACACACACUGCAUCCUCUAUACACACACUCACUGCAUCCACUAUACACACCCACUGCAUCCAAUAUACACAUAGACUACAUCCACUAUUCACACACACUGCAUCCACUAUACAGACACACUACGUCCACUAUACACACACUACACACACUACAUCCACUAUACACACACACUACAUCCACUAUACAAACUAUACAGAGACACACUGCAUCCUCUAAAUAUGCACGCAUCAAACAUUGCAUCCACUAUGCACACAAACUGCAUCCACUAUGCACACAAACUGCAUCCACUAUACACACACACUACAUCCACUAUACACACACACUGCAUCCACUAUACAGACACACACUGCAUCCUCUAUACACACACACUGCAUCCACUAUACACACACACUGCAUCCACUAUACAGAC